rnacentral:rRNA from 1 species
GACGAACGCUGGCGGCGUGCUUAACACAUGCAAGUCGAACGGUGAAGCGCCUUCCUUUUUGGUGGGUGUGGAUGAGUGGCGAACGGGUGAGUAACACGUGAGUAACCUGCCCCCUUCUUCUGGAUAACCGCAUGAAAGUGUGGCUAAUACGGGAUAUUCUGGGUCUGUCGCAUGAUGGGUCUGGGAAAGAUAUUGUUUCGGUGGGGGAUGGGCUCGCGGCCUAUCAGCUUGUUGGUGGGGUGAUGGCCUACCAAGGCGGAGACGGGUAGCCGGCCUGAGAGGGUGGACGGUCACACUGGGACUGAGACACGGCCCAGACUCCUACGGGAGGCAGCAGUGGGGAAUAUUGCACAAUGGGCGCAAGCCUGAUGCAGCGACGCCGCGUGAGGGAUGGAGGCCUUCGGGUUGUGAACCUCUUUCGCCAGUGAAGCAGGCCUGCCUCGUUUGUGGGUGGGUUGACGGUAGCUGGAGAAGAAGCGCCGGCUAACUACGUG